GGUUGGUGGAGAGAAAGAAGAAAAGAGAGAGAAAGAAGAAAGGAGGAAAAAUAGAAAAAAAGGAAAAGAAACAGGGAAAGAAAGAAAAUAUAGAUAAAAAGGGAGUAAAGAGAAAAGGUUACAGAGGAAUAUGGCCACAAGCUUCCAGCCAUAUCACUGUAUAUAAGUAUUUUGAGAUAGUUUCUUGAAACCAUAGAGACGUUCGUCCCUGUCCUAUCUCUACCUACAAGGAGCUCUAUAUCGCCUUUUGAGUUUGAGUGUUGUGGAGGAAGACCUCAGCGUUAUUUGUUGUUCCAGUUGGCUGCUCUAAAACAGACUUUAACCCAUCUCGUUGCACUUUCUCAUUGGGCCGUAAAGGCUUGAACUGUCAUCCUUGAGUUGUAGACCCCCUCAAAACUGGCGUACAGGCUAAAAUAUAUCAAACGAGUUGCUGGAAAUUAACUGCAGGUUCAUCAAAACCUGGAAAGGGGCUGUAAAAUGUAUUGGCAGGUGUUGAUGUAGCUGUAUAGCAGCUGUAUACAUACUUUAUACAUCAGUAUAAAGGUCAAAAAAACGUACAGGGGACCAAAUUAGAAAUACAGGUUGAUAACAGUGAGGACAUACUUCUGGAAAUAAUUUUUCAGCUGUCGAAAGUUGAAAAACAGGUUGAUAUACAACCUGUAUACACAGAUAUACUUAGACGAUAUACUAUAUAUAUGCUUAAAAAAUAUGAUUGGUAGGGGAACGUAGAGGGACGUGUAUUCUAAUUAAAAUUCGGAAUUAGGCAAACAAUGCGGACAUAGGGUGCAUCCCGUAUACAUUAGUAUACAUUAUCGGGAGACGAUAUACACUUGUUAAGUAAGUUUUUAAUAAAUGAUACAGGUAUAAAUACGCAGGGGAAUUCAGGGAAAAGUAACGGUAAAUAUAUAUUCAAAAGGUGCAGGGCUCAAGAGGUCCAAAUGGGUCAGAUAUAUGUUGUAUACAACAUGUAUACAUUUGUAUACUUUAUGUCUCUUUUCAGGGAAUUGGGCCAGGGCCCUUCAGCCCCCCUUUUAUUUAACAGGCCCAAAGGUCAUUUGUUUCUGCAGGUUUUAAAGAAGGCCCAAGUAUAAGGAUUAGUUUAUGACAGGUGGGCCAAAGCCCAAAUGAAAGAAUUUGGGCAAUCAAGCCCAAGUUCAAAUAUUUCUUUCUCUAUUAUUUAUUUGUUUGAAUUAUUUAAUAUCUUGGUAGAAUUUUAAUAAUCUUCUAAGGGGUAGCCAUUUUCAUUAUUUAAA